CUGGUUCUUAUUGCUCUGGGGACCACCGGCUGGGCGGUGGCAGUGGCUAUACAUCAGCCCCGUGGCCUCCCCCGAGUGGCAUGAAUUCCCGGGAACGGUUCCCGUAACAGGAUGGGUCUGGUGUCCUUCAAGGAAGGGAACCCAAACGAUGGGAUAAUUAUGACCGUGCCACCCCACUGACAACAGCGUGAGACUUGGCUUCUGUAGCGCAGCGGCUAAGGGCACGGCUGCUGGACAAAGCCACACAACUCUGAGUGCUGGCUUCACCACCCAGGAGCCUCGCGGCCUUGCGUGUGUUCCUCAGCCUGCCUGAGCCCCGACUCCUCGUCUACAAAAAUGGGGAAAGGAUAGCAUUGAUUCCGGG
rnacentral:lncRNA from 1 species